rnacentral:rRNA from 1 species
UACGUAGGGUGCAAGCGUUGUCCGGAAUUAUUGGGCGUAAGAGCUCGUAGGCGGUUUGUCGCGUCGGGAGUGAAAUCCACUGGCUUAACUGGUGGCUUGCUUUCGAUACGGGCAGACUGGAGGUAUGCAGGGGAGAACGAAUUCCUGGUGUAGCGGUGAAAUGCGCAGAUAUCAGGAGGAACACCGGUGGCGAAGGCGGUUCUCCUGGGCAUGUCCUGACGCUGAGGAGCGAAAGUGUGGGGAGCGAACAGG